GAUCCAAUCAAGAAAACAAAACGUCCACCCCGCAUCAGGGUUGGCAGUUUAGGAGGUGACGGGAACUGAGUUCUGCGAUAUUGCUGUUGCCAGUGGUGACUUGCACAGAGGAGCCCCUGGAGCCCCUGAGAGCCACACCUGGCCCCUCGGACACCGAACUCAUGGCCGCCUAGCACUCAGAUGAUGGGGGAGCUGUGCCUUCUUGGCAGGCAGGACCCUGCCAACAGACGUUCAGCGGAUGGGAUGCUUCUCACUGCAACAUUAAGGGUGGUCCUUUUAACUCCAUCUGCCCAUUUGAAGGCCAGGCUUCUCCAGAAACACCCUCAACAGACAAACCCCGAAAUACAUUUCACCAGCUCUCUGGGCCUCCCUUAGCCCCAUCAAGUUAACCCAUCAUACCAACCAUCACAAAUAACUGUGUGUGAAGGGUGAAAGCCCCAUGUCUCUGAAGCCAGUGGGUGUUCACAAGAGGAUUAUGGGAAGAGGGACAGAAGUGCCUGGAUGUACUGUUCAGAGCUGGCAGGACCGGCCUCUAAAAGGAAGACUUAAAAUGAUGUUUUUGACAUCAACACUUUCCCCAAAGUUGAUCCACCUGUCACCGCAGCCGCCGGCUGGCCUCCUGGGAACCACAGGGUGGAAGUCGCUGCUGCAGUGACCUGGGCUGUUUCCUUCCACCCCUUCCCUGGCUCGCAGGUCUCACGGCAGCUCUUGGAGCCAUAGCUGUGUUCUCUGUGUUCCCUUUCUUGGGGAGCACCCAUCCUCGGCCAGCCGACGAGCCCUUCACCCUGUGGGAAGCUCUGGCCCCUCUCUGCUGCCUAUGGGCCAAGCCCUGUUUGUACCUGGACACUGGCCUUCCAGCUGUAUAAACACCUGCUUGUUAUCACCAAGGGUGGAUGGUCUUCUAGGACUGGUCCAAGGUCUCAAUCAACUCUUAAAAGGCACAGAAAAGCAAGGAUGGGAGACACACAGCAUGGACUGUGUCUUGUGACAGAGCGGAGCCUAGCAGAUGGGUGCCUCCAAGAUGCAAGUUCCUAGGAGCCGAGAUGCCCUGACCCACCUCCAUACGCAGCAUCUGGAGCCACGGCCGUUCAGAGGAUAGGCUGAAUGAAUGAAUGGGGUAUGACAUGCAUUUGGCCUUCACUUGCUGAUAAUUGGGAAGCUUCUUCCACCGCUUGCUUUGGUUUGGGAUCUGACAACACUCUGUCAUCUUCACUCAGGUUGUGUCCUGUCCAAACCGGGAAGAUGAGACUCAGCUUCUGAGUAUAAUCUCAGUGAUUAAUUUAGAUGGGAAACUGUGAGCUUAGGGCAAGAAAUGUCCUUCCGUGCUUUCCAGCAUCUCCUCUGUCCCGUGGCCUUGGAGCCUCCAUAGUCCCCAGUGCGAGGCCUGGCUUCUUUCUAGAAAUUGAUUUCACCAUCAUACUUUUUUUUGUCCUUCUGUCUCCAGACAUUUUUUUUCCUGGCCAGCUUUUUAAAACCCUUGGCCUCAAAAUCUUAGUUCCCCACAUCCGGCUCCCCCACCUCUCCCCACAAAUAAACUGUCACUUGCUCUGGGCUUUCUUUCCAGUGCAACCAUCCCUGCUUUGUAAAAGCAAUG